CUGUGUGAGUUGGCGAUAAUUAAAAUCACACGGCAUCUUUUGAUGGGUUUAUAAUACUUGCUAAAUUAACCUGCUGCAAGGCUUUUUUAGGGCUGUUCAGAGAGACAACUCUGAACUCAUUAUAAACCAUUCUAUGAAAGUCUCAAACUCCGUCGUAAUGCUCUUGGCAGUUACUGUCCCACUGCAAUUAAGCACCAUUUUAUGAUAAACAUAGAUUCGUAAUAUUUCGUGACACAUUUCGUAAAAACAUUACCUUUUAUUAUUGAGAAAUUUUAAACGUACUAAAAAAUAAAUAACCCAGGGGCGGAUCUAGGAUUUUUUUCUGGUUAGGCAAAAUUUCACCGAUUUUUUGGCGAUUUUUUGGCAAAGUAAUAUUAAGGGUUGUGGUGUUGUACGAGGUAAAGCGGGCGUUUUGUGUUUUUAUUAUAAAAGGAGCUAAAAUCUUUCCAAAAGUGAGGUUUUUAGUUAUUAAAAAUCUUUCCUAAAUUAGAAACGAAAGUGUCUUUAUAGCCCAAUAAAUAAAAGUAACCUCCGUAGUUUAACACUGGUAUCCUCGCUAAAACAUGCGGAUGGAAAACUCUGUUUGGUAAUUUAGACUCGAAACAGGGUUAGCGUUGCCACAGUUCCUUUGAAUGACAUACCACACUGGUAUCAUCUAAGCAUCUUUUUUACUUUUUACGCAUUAAAUACGAGUACAAAUAAUCGCCAAGUUACAAAUUUGGGGAGUUACUUUAUUUCAAAAUAUGCAAGAAGUCUAAUAGCUAAUAAUACCACAAAAAAUUACAUUACAAGACAAUUUUAGGAAUAGAUAGUCAACAGCAGUGCAACGUAGAAUUAUUGUUUAGAAAAUUACAGCCUGUGUUAGCAACCAGCAAAUGCAAACACAAAAGCAGCAUGUGUAAGAUAGCAACGCAUAAUAAACGUCUACAAAAAGUAUAUAGUAGUUACCCCUUUAUGAAGUUAAUAUAGUUUAAUAUUAAGGUCACUGGUGUAGUUUUGCACCAAUUUCUAUUAAGCAUUAAUUUUAUUGUUAAAAAAUGUCCACAAAAGUUAAGCAGUUUAUUAAGCCAGAAAAGAGUUAGAAAUCAGAAAAAUAACAUCAAAACAUUUAACAUGUCUGCAUAUUAUUUACCCUCACAUGCCCCUGUCCACUAUGUUUAAAAAGUAGUUUAAUACUUUGAAAUCUUUAAAAAAGUUUUAGUAACUAGGUCAAUUCUGAAGAUUCUCAUACAAAAAGCAACAUAUAUAUAUAUACAAAUUCUACUCAUAUGCAUAAGUUAACAUGACAUUUUUAUUGGCUUGCUGUAGCAGAACGUUCUUUAACAUGCAAUUCUUGUUUCGAUCUGUAUCAUUUUACGUGAAAAUCAUUUCUAUCAGUACAAGUUAUUUUGAUAUAUAGACAUAUAUCCAUUGUUUACAGUUUUCCAAUAUUAUAAGGAUUCAUAAUGAAUCUCCUGUGUGCUUUAAUUGAUGGUGAUUUUCAUUGUCAGAAGAAUAUUCAUCAUGGCUGACAUCAAUAUAUCUAUUCCUAAAACAAAAUUAUAUAUGUUGUAUUGCUCAUCAAAAAAGAAGAAAUAUUAUACAACAAACUUGGACUAUUCUUAGAUUAGGUAUUGUUUCAUUCUUUUGUUUUUAGCAAUUUUAUCACAAUUAAAAGCAGCAUGGGAAAGUUAAGUUUUUAAAAUGAGAUGUUGUAUAUAAAAUCUACUGUUUAAAAGUUCCAACAAAGUCAAAGUUCUUAGGGACACUCACAAUCGAAAAGUAUAUGCUAAACGUAAAUUGGACAUACGAGGUACAAUAAGAAUUGACGUUUAAGUAUAUCUCAUACUGUAAACAUCGAUUUUUAGAGGACAGAAAGUAUUUUGAACUUGUUGUCGUUUACCUGAUUAACAGGAGCACAUAUCCGAGUGCGUAUGAUUUCAGGGACUGACAACAUUCGAAUAUUACCUAUCUGUAAAUCCCCAGGGAAAGGGGAUCUACAGACCUAUUUACAUUUAGAUUACACUUUUGCGUUUAUGAAAAAGCUGUCCCUUAGUUAACUUACAAGAAUUAUUCCUUUUCCACACGAACACAAAGAUACACAGUUGCAUAAACAGCUACACGAAGCCUGUGACCUUAAGACAAUAAACAAAAAACUAACAAAAUUCCAACUAAUACAUGCAGCUUAGCAAUACUCUAUACCAAACUUAACAUACACCUCCAAACAUUUUUUGAUCGCCAAGACAGUGUUUACAUAAAUUGCCUUUUUCAUUUAACUUAGCUAGCAUACAAUUGCUUUGAUUUAUUCUAGCCACUUGAGGUGCUUCCUGCAAUUGGACCUGACCCAGCUAAACCAUGUUGAAAAAGAAGCAUCCACUUGUCGUCCAUGUAACCAUACCCGUGGUCGUUUUAGGCAUUUAAACUUAAAAACCCACGGACGUUUUAGGCGUUUUUUCUUCCCAUUUCAAAAUUUUAUUCAUUGGAACUUGAAAACCCGCGGACGUUUUAGGCGUUUUUUCUUCCAUCUGUGAUUUUCAUUCAUUCGGAACUUUAAAACCCGCGGACGUUUUAGGUGAAUCCACUUUUUUGCCUAAGAUCGCCCCAGGUUUGCUUUUGAGUAAAAUAUCAAUGAUAAAAAAAUUGAUGAAACGCCGCAUCGUCAUGAUGUCGAAAUGAGCCGGAUGCCAAAAACAAAUUUACAAAAAUAAUUCUGUUUUUUUUGGAUUAUUCUAUCUAUAGAAUGUUUUUUCUACGGCCACAAAAUUAGGCUUAGGCAAUUGCCUAGGCUGCCUUACCCUAGAUCCGCCCCCGUAACCUGCAAACAAUGAAGCAAAAUUUAAAAUCCAAGACGAGUAAUUUUGUAGUAGCCUUGGACAGAGAGCAACUACUAAUAAAAUAUAUCUUUUUACAGCCGGAGGAAUGCAAUAUUCAUUGCAGAGGGGACAAGGACAGCAAAUAAUGUCCACAAGAUUUGGUUAGAUACAUUUACGUCAAAUAAUCAUGAAAGCAUAAAUUAGUUGCAACAUGUUCUUUAAUAACCUUUUUUCAUUUCUAAGAGGCAAAAGGUUGCUGUGCGCCGACGUAAUCAAGCUGCUGGUAAGAAGCGUCAACCUCAGCACCCAAAAUUAAGACAGGAGGAUAGAAUUGAGAAUGUAUUUUUUUCAAACUUACAAACGUUUUUUUCAGGUGGAUCGUCUCUGAAAAGAAAUGUAAGUGCAGUUUGUGUUCCAUUUACUUUCACAGUUACUUUCACUAUUCACCCUAACCCUAACCCUCGCAAUCUCGGGCAAUACUUUGACGUCGGUCAAUAUUCUGCGGUAUUGCCCUCAUAAACAGUUAUUAUAGGUUUAAUAAUAGCGUUCAGUCAAAACAUAGCGAUGUUCGACACUCACGAAAGAAUGUGUAAAGUUAAAUUGCAACUGAAUUUUAGAUACAACGAAUAUUGAUGUGGAUUUUUUUUCAUUAACGACGCAGCGAAGAAUGAAAUGGGCUUCCACGAUUUUUAUAUCGACCGAGUAACUAAAAAUGUGGAGAAAGGAAUUACUUGUGUUAUCCAUUCCUUGCUUUGCAUAUAGUGUUUUCGAUAACACUGGAUAUCCCCUUGUUUUUCAUAGACAACGUAGCUAGCUACGUAACCAGCUUUGUUGAAGAAGCUGCCAGACAGAUUACAAUGUUUUAUCACUAAAUGUAUUGUAGAAGUUCGAUAUAAAAUCAUUUUAAGUGCUUCUUUGAUAGUGUUUUUUCUUGCUUGUUCACAUAUUAAUCUACAAUUCGUUGACUAGGGGUAGCACCGCUCUAUAUCUGGCCGCCGUUAAGGACAUUAGUCCAAUCCAAGUGCUGAAACUUCGUACUGCCCGCUUGCAUAAUAAUUGUUAUGAAUAUGUAGUUUUAUUUUCAUGUGUAGCAGAAUUCAAAUAAAUUCAAAAGUACGCCAACUAGUAACUGUUUUGAGACAGGACGAAGAAAGAAAAAAGGUUAGGUUUCUAUUACAGUUAUUUAUCUUCGCAUUUGUGAAAUUUUUGUUUGUAAAAACAAAAAUGAUCAUUCAUAACGGGGAAUUUUAGUCUGCGCCUGCGUAAAAUCGUGUGCAUUAUAUUUCAAACAGAUCCAAUAUGGCGCCAAAUUGGAAAACAAUGAGAAAGUUGAUUAUGGUUUUAGUUUUCUUUUGAUUUUUAAGCAAUUAUAUUCAAACGAUUUAAUGUCUAACCUUACUCAGUGUCUGCCACUGCUUUAAAGUUAUUAAACCGAGUUGUUUUGAUGAAUUUAACAAACGCUGGUAAAGCUUUCAAGAGAUAGAAAAUCCUGAAGAGUUAAGGAUGUAUGUUGAUAUAUCAAACCAGCAAAACAGACGUGGAAUUCUGCUUCUUCAGAAACGUUCCCCAAAGCUGGGGCAUCAGAAGCUAGUAGCAAAUGAACCAUCAGUCAGGUAACUGCUUAAAAAUUAUAUUUUGUUCCUAAUAUAAAUGCAAUGAGGCUAUAAAACCUUCCUUAAAUAUAAAAUAUAUUUCAAAUGUCCUUAAAUUUUUUUUUUUACUUGAGGGGUCAUGCUUUUCGGCAUCGGUUGACUUUUAGUUGAUUUUCUUCACUCGGGCGUUGUAUAGUGAGACUAAUGCAUAGGUAGCUCUCAAUCUAUUAAACUCUUUAAUCCUUCAACUCUUGAUGGCCCCUUUCUUAAUUCAUCUCUCUUCUUAUCAAUAAAUAAAUGACACGAAUUCAUCAAAUUAUGGCACAGUACCUAUUUCAUAAAAAGGUUGGGUGAACUUCCAGUUUUGUGUUUGUAAAUUGUCAAUUUAAGAUGUAAAUCGUUAAAGCCCCAUUUUCAGAUAUAGUAAGUGGUUCUUCGUUUCGAACACAUUCAACACAAGCGUAUUCUUUUUACUCUGUCGAUGAAGUGUGUUACGGCAUUAAUAGAACAUUUUUACCGAUUUCCAUCAUGGUUCGCACCAAUCUUUGCAUGCAUCUUUUUAUCAGGAGUUUGUUUCUCAACAAAUUAAGUAUACCUUAAUAAUUUACAACUAGCUGUUUCCCGUGGAAGAAUCCACUGUAUUCCAUUUAAUUUAUGUAGCAGAUAUGCGUCCAUCAAAAAACAAACAAUACAGCAGUGCGCAUCUUACAUCUGCAUUAUUAUAUAAAUGACCAAAAAAAUUAAAGGUUUUUAACAACUGCAGUAUUUAUGUGACAUUUAAAAUCUAAAUCUACUAAAAUUACUUGCUCUGACCAUCUGACAAAUGCGAAAAUUAUUCGGAAAGAAGUUUCCAAAAGCAUUUCAACAUACAUCUCACCCAUAAAAUUUAAAUCACUCAAAACGCCACAUAUAUACAAAAAAGCUGAUCAAUGUCAAACACAAAUCUCUCUCAUUGUAUAUGGUAAAAUCAGUUAGUUUAUUGCAAACCCUGCCAAAGGUUGACACACAAUGUGAAAAAUAAACAAUAAAUUGUGCCUCUGACAGAAUUUUUUAUCUAAGGUGUAAAAAAAGGGAUUUGCAAGGACAAAUUAUAAUGCAAUAAAACAUUAUUUGAUAUAUUGCAUACAGUCCUUCCUCACCAAACUUUAGACAAAAUGCCAACAAAAUAACAGUGUUUAAAUCUAAAAUUAAUAAAGUCCUUUUAGCAAUUUGCAUGCUGUUUUACCAUCAAUAAAGUAAACAAAAUUUCAAAUCUCACAUAGUAUUCUGUCACAAAUUUUCAUAAAAUAUAUAUAUAAGUCAUAAUGAGUCAUGUUAAACAACAGCAAUCAAUCUGUAUAUAAGUUCAUUUUAUGUCAAUUUUUGCACCAAUUUUGCAACACAAAAUACAAAUUCUAAAUAAUACUAAAAUCUCUUAUUUUGGUCCUUCACAUACCAACGGUCUCCCACAAAAGUUUAAUCAAAAUGUAAAAAAUGAGAGGUAACGACAAAAUUAAAGUUUGCAAAAUUUAACUAUUUCAGUACAUAUAUCUACUGCAUAUGCCCUCUAAAACAAUAUUUUAAUCCAAAAUGCCAAAGAAAAACAGUUUGCAACAAAAAUCAGUUAUUUCGAUAAUAUUGCAUACACUCUUUCCUCACAAAAGCUUCACAAACUGUAAAAAAAAGAAUGGUUAUAGGGAGUGCUUCUGAUUCAACAAAAAAAGUUUUUUUGACAUAUUGCAUCUAGCCCUUACCCAUUAAAUCUUACACAAAAUUUCCAAAACUAUAUACGAUUUAGAACACAUCAAAUUUAAAUCGAGAAGGAAUCAGUCAUUUCGAUAUAUUGCACGGAGUCCUCCCCAGUAAGAAUUUAUACAAAAUAUAGAAAAACAAAGCUUGCAAGGUGUAAAAUCGAAUUCUUCUUCUGUGUAUAUAUAUAUGGUCCUUCCUCGCAAAAUUAACAUAAAAUGUCAAAAAGGUUCAGAUUUAACAUCUAACACAACAAAAAUCAGUUCUAUCAGUAUAUGUCAUGCCAUUGUCUUCCACCAAAUGUUCCCCUUAAAGUUUCACAGACAGCCUGUAAAUUAAAAACAACUAAGAUCAGGUAUUUGGUCUAUUUCAUACCAUUCUGUUCCAAAUAACUUAUAAAAUGUAAAAAUUGAGUGGUAAAACAGAAAUGUCAAAAAGAAGAAAAAAAUAGCUUACAAAGAGUAUAAAAUUGAAAUCAACAAAGUAGCUCUUUUGGUGUAUUAAAUAUAAGCCAUACACACAAAAGUUUACACUAAAUGUAAGAAAAUGGUUGUGUUUAGUAAUUUUAAAUUAAGAAAAGUCAGUUAUUUUAGCAUGCUGAUUAAGGUUCUUGCCCACAAUUUGAAAGAAAUUAAAUUUACAUUUUAAAAAUAAGUAAUUUCUAAACUUUAUUUUCAGAAUAUUUGGAGGAAAAGAACUUCGCAAACCAAAAAAAACCCAGGAAAAUGUUUAAAAUUUUCAGGGUUAAUAACGUUUGAUGUGUUUUGUGGGAAUAUAUAUACUGGGAAUCUUUAGUUUAAAGCUAGCAUUAGCUAGCUACAGCAGCUAAUAGCUAGUCACUGGAGACUUAGCUAGGUAUAAAGAACAUGGCUACAUAUAUAUAUAUAUAUAUUCCUAGCUAGCUAGCCAGUUGUUGGUGGUGGUUGGCUUUUUAUGAUGCUAGCUAUAAAACAUGUCUGGCAACAAUAAUAUAAUCAAAACUUAAAAUAAAACAUGAAAAAACCUUACAGAACCUUGCUAUGAUUAAUUUAUAAAACCAUGCUCUUCUUUAAAUGUUUUUUUAAAGAUUUAUUUUGAAUGAAAGAGUAGAGAAUACUCAAAAAGAACAGCCAUCUUUUUCGUAAACACAAUUUCCGUUUUAUGCUAGGAACUUCAUUUAACAGUCCGUAUGCUUUGUGAAUAUCUAAUACCGUUUCAUAUGUAGCGAUACCUAUAUGUAUAUGCUGACAUAGAGUUUUUUGGCAUAAGGGUAUAUAUAUUUAUAUCGUUAUUAGCAGCGGGUUAUAUAUUUACAGCUUAUGUGCGAUUUCUAUGAAGUACAUCCCUAAUCUUUUUAGUUAAAUUUUAGCGUACAGCCACGUUAUAAGAAAGUGACCUGUGAUUUCCGUGUCGUGGACUCACAGUUUUACUCACGCAAGGGAAUUAAUAUAUAAGAUUAUAUUAACAAUAACAUUUUGAUUUACUGUGCAAGUGUAAGAUUUGUAGUAGAGAAACCUACUCGUAUAAUAAAUCCAAGGAAAUAAAAAAUGUGAUAAAUAAAAAUGAAAUUUGAAAAAUGUUUGGAAAUGUGAUUUUUGCGGCUGCUACCAAUAGUUGAAAGUCUAUUCUACUAGAAAAUUUGCACACAAUCCUAUUUUUUGUUUAAUUUUUCCCAUGGGAUCCCAAAGUCAACUUUUAUAGGGUUAAUGGGUUAGGGUUAGGGUUAGAAAGAAAAGACGAAGAUGUUCCACCAGUUGUCAGUUCCAGUUAGCUUUAUUACUGUUUGUGAUUUGGAUAGUUUUGCAAAGUUUUAUAGAUUUGGCCAAAUUUAGAUAUUUCACAUUGAAAGUUUAUUUUUUGCGAAUCGACUCCUUUUCGCAGGAAUUUAAAUUCAGGAUAAGAACGCAAUUUAUUUACCCGAGAACCACCAGUCAUCAACUUUAUACUUUUAUUUUUGAACGCUGACUGCGCCAUUUUUGUUUUUUUAACACCAAGGACAGUUCCUUCAAAUUCUAGUGGAAUGGAACUGGUUUCAUCAAAAGCGAACAAAUCAUUAGACGAUGUAUGCGAUGAUGUUGCAAAGAACUAACCCAGAACACAUCCCAUUCCACAUUCCAACUAAGACACUUUGUCAUAUCAGCUAUACUGUUUGAUGGUAAUAUAGAAUCUGGUGCUAUAGCUGUUGAUUUCUCUCCUCUAGUUUCAGUCAGCCGCAGUCCCUCAACGUGCAGCAACAAACAUUCAAAACGAAGUGUGUGAUGGCAGGCAGUUGUGAAAAAUGGUUGACGAAUCAAGUCCUCGUAAACUGGACAAGUACACAGAUCCUAAUAAUUUUUGUUCACUUAUAUCAAAUUUGUCAGGAAUAAUGUCUGCUGGUAUUUUAUGUAAUUAUUAUAAGGAGAAUUAUUUCGUCCAAAAUAUUUUUUUCAGAAUAUCGCCCGGUACUUCCUCCUUUUUUGGCCUUCCACCACUUUUCAAUUUUUUAAAGAGUGCAAAAAGUACACCAUGAAAUAUUCUUCGUGAGAAGUUGCGUUGUGCUUUCGAUAUAUUUUUAAUAUAUUUUGAAGAUGUUAAACAGCCAUGUUCGAUCUUAGUGUAGCCAGCUACCGAAAACUAUGCUCAAUUUUUUUUAGUAAGUUUAUCUAAAAAUAUAACAGUAUGUUAUUUGAAACUUGUAUAGAAAACCUGAAUAAAUGCUUUUUCAAGAGAUGUAUAACACUUAUCAUGCAUUAGGAAAAUUUACAGAUCGUAAAACACGUAUUUUUUUACCUGCGCCAUUUUCGAACGAAUUUCUGCUAACUUGCAUGUUUUUAGCUAUAUAAAUAGCAACAUAAAUAUUUGCUUUCCUCUGUCGCUCGUCGAUAACAGGCAUUAAAAUCUGAUCUGAAAUUGUCCGGCUAGCCAACAGAACACAGUAUUUGUUGAUUAACACGUGUGCCCAUUCCUUGCACAAGCUUAAAUUAUCCAUUGUUUUACUUUCUCUCUUUGACGCAUGCGCAGACUGUAUUUCCCGUUUCUUGUAUAUAAUGAAUACUUGUGAAAUUUGAGGUCAAUUUAUAAUGUGAAUACGUCUAGUAACUUUUCCCUUGUGUGACGAUAAUACAAGCCAAAUUUACGUUCUAAUAGAUUGCAGCUUAGAAAUGAAAUCUAUGUGAGCAUUUUUAAAGCAAAACAUAUCAUUGAAUUAAAAACGAAAGAUUGCGAAAAAGCACUUUUAUAGUAGAAAUAUGAUCCCAUUUCUACCUCUGCAGCUCAAUUUAAAUGCAAGAACCGUUUUUGAUAGUUAUUUUAACCCUAUUCAGGCCGGGGAGGAGGGGAGGGGGCAAAAAUGCCCUACCUGGCAUACUUUUGUUAAUAACUCUAGAGCCAUAAAUGGUAUUACCCUGAAACUUCUAGUAGCUAAUUAUUUAUCAUUGUGGAUGAGAAAUAUGGAGAAAAAAAAUCCAAAAAUUUACAGCAGGUAAUGUGCCACGCCUAUUUUGAAAGGCAAUGUUCAAAUUAUUUUUAACAUUUUUGCAUAUGGAUAUUAUAAUGGACUUAGAAUGGUAACAUUUAAGUUUAUAUGUCUAAUGUUGUUCUAAUAACUUGCGCCCUUCGAUUUUAGCGCCGUUUGAUGCCUGUGGGCGUUAUUUUUUAUCUUGAGGGAAUGCCAACUUACGCCCUUUUUUCUUUUCUUUUUUAGUUUUCACUAAUACUUUGAAGCCUUGGUUGCUUGUCAAUAAUUUUUAUAUGCUUUUCUCAUUUGAUUGAAAGCAUUUUUCAAUAAAAAAUGUAUAGAAUUAAUCUUUGAACUAUGUCUCUAACCAGGUGUGCAUAUAUAUUUGACUUAUUUUCAAAUAUGAAUAAUAUUUGUUACGUUGGCGUCUCAAGGAAUCUUAAGCCAAAAUAGCUGAAAUGUUUAUUUAUUUAUUUAUUAAAAUUAACAUUAUUUUCAACAUUUACAAAAAAGACAUAAAUCUAUCAUGAAGCUACCCAACUUCAAAAAAAUGCUGACAGUCAGUUAAAAAAAUUGCUGACAGUCAGCAUUUGAGGCAUGAUUUUUAAUUGUUAUGUGACGGGCAUCAUCCGUUCAAAGUUUUAUAAGUUAUAACCUAAUAAAGGGGAAUUUAUGGGGGUAGGGCAACCCCCCCUUCCGGGACUACAGCCGCCCCCUAUUCUCCGGCCUGAAUAAGGUUAAUAAAAUUUCGAAUAAGUUAAUCUAUUUUUUUGUUUUACUUUUUAGUAGGAAGGAAUGAAGCAUUUAGAAAUUAAUGAGAAUCUAUUGCAAAUGGUAUGUGACAUUACUUUCCUUUUCCGCAAUGUUAAACAUUUUCUUUUUAAUAACGAUUAUUGUUUUUAGGCGAUCUCCCAAGUGUGGGUAUGUUCCAAUUUAUACUCUCCUGUACGCUCAAGGCUUCUUGUUGGCAGUUGUUUUGCUAUUAAUAUUUUCAUAAUGACGCUUCCAAUUUUGCGGUAUAUUUCUCCGAACUCAUUCUUUAACCUGAUCCAGAGCACUUGAUUUCAGAUUGGUCAUCAAGAAGACGUGACGUAUUUGAUCUUUGAGAAAAAUGUCAUAUUUUGUCAUCGAGAAUGCCGUAUCAUCGAAAAAUAUCAUAUUUAGUCACGGCGACUCAACGAUGUAUCUGCUUAUUGAGAACCAACAACGUAUUUGAUCAUCGAGAACCAACGACGUAUUUCAUCAUCGAGAACAAACGCAGUAUUUGAUGAUCGAGAACAAACGACGUAUUUGAUCAUCGAGAACAAAUGAUGUCUUUUCUGACCAUCAAGCUGCUGUCUACUGCUUACUAGUGUUUAUUAGAUUAAUCAAAUAUAUACUGCGUUUCUCAGUCAAACCUGUAAAUAGUUAAAUUGCUAUACCUAUAUACAUACAACGGAUGCUUUUACUCUCCCAUUAGUCGAAGUGAAUUCGCCUAAACAUGUCUUGGUGAGUACUCCCUUUAAAAGACUAUUGGCUUACGCUUAAGAAUUUGCCUAAACUUCUUAUGUCCAUUCUUUACGGAUUUGACUGACUUCAUAUUUUGUAUUGUACUUUAUUAUUUGACGAGGAGUAAAAAUUUGACUUUGUGAGGUACGCAACUAAGAGGACUUGUGGAAGACUUGCGUUUUCGAAGAGCUUUUGCCAUUUUUUUUUUUUUUAAGGUUAAGGUUUUUUAGUAAGGUUUAAUAGGUGGCUGCGUCGCAUUGAAUAUAUUGCAGAAGUUGUGAGGCCACUGGCAUUAUGGUGACUUUCGCUCUUAUGACCGUCUGGAUACGCAUGUGGGAGAUUAGGUUCGGGUUUUUAAACUUACCUUUGCAUAGUGUUAGGUGGGUUUUUAAUUUUUUUUGCCUUCACGACAUUCAGUUUUCAAUACAAGAACGAUUUUUUAUGAAUAAGGAGUUUUGAACGGUAAAAAUGUUUUUAGGCGAUCAGGUCUUCGUUCCUCGGUGUUGAAUGUGUCGAAAUCAUAGUUCUUAAGGUUGCCAUUGACAACUUAUUUAGGGAUAUCGAAACGAUUGACUUUGGUUUUACAUUGGCACCUAAUUUUUGAAUGUCUAAAAGUUUCGCCUUAUUUUUAAAUUGGCACCUCGUUUGUGGAUGUUAAAGUGUGUUUUGAUGGUGAGUUUUAAUUGUGAGUAAAGUUUAUGCUAUAUUUCUCUCUGAAGUUAGUUUUCACUCUUUUAAAGAGGCUGCACAACAAGAAAUGGUACCUUCACUUGAACUGUCAAUGUUCUCGAAAGCUUUUUUUUAAUCCUAGCUGCUAAAAUCUCAAAAUGCUACAUAUCAUUUUUAGUUCUGUUGGUUAGUUGUUAUUCUUAUACACAUGCCACCACAACACGUCAGAAAUAAAACCGUUAAUAUAGUAGCAUAAUCUGACUGUUACUACUCUCUCGCGCAGUGCUGUUACGUGGUAUUACUACUUUCUUACGGGAUGCUGUUACUACUCUCUCACGUAGUGCUCUUGUUUCAAGAGGUAUCGUUCCAGUUGCUGAUUUCUGAUGUUGUUCCUUUUGAAAUCUUUCAUAACCUACGACAAUUUUAUUAGCAGCUUCAAGUAUUGUGAUCUUUUGUUUAUAUAAAAUGAACAAGAUUAUUUGAGUGUUCAAUUGGCAGGAAACAUGAAAAAGCAAAAAUUCGUUUUGAACAACUGGAACAGCAAUAACUUCUUGCUAGAAAAACAACUUAUCAGGUUAUAUAUUAAACGACGGACAUUUUAACCAUGUCGAUGUCAUCCUGUCUGAUAUAGUCCUCAGUAUCAUCAUAAUCGAAGAUGAUAUAUCUUGUAGUUGUUGUAGUAAUUGAUAUUUCCAGUGUGCCACCCAUUCUCGUAUAGAACUUUUAUUUUCACAAUAGGGUGCGUUCAGCACACGGUCAUCUUUGUGACCCACUCUUCCUCAGGAACAUCCUUGCCAUUCUCAUCCUUAUGGUCGUUUCUUUCCUAGACAUUUUCUCCUGUAACUUGAUCGGACGUUGGUAAUGUUUUGCCUGCAGGUUAAUACUUACCAUGCUGUGAGACCUUGUAUGAUAAAAGAUCCUUAGACGUUACUUUAUCAUCUUCACUUUUGUCUGAUUACAUAUUUUGAGCCUCAGAAGACUUCUUAAAUUUGGAAUAUUCCGAGCCUUGUGAUUCUUAAAAAAGGUAUUGCUUUUUUUCCUGUCCGAUUUAACGUGAUCAGUAGCUUUCAAUCACGCGACAGUCAGACAAUUCGUUUGCAGGAAGUGAAACACUCGUGCUUUCAUCAAUUAGCUUUCUAGUAUUUUUUGAAGAAGGAUGCCACCUGAUAAUUUCUUCUUUACAAGAAAAAGUCAAGAUUUUGUUACGUUUUUCAGACUACAUGUAUCUUUUUGUAAAUAACCUGUUUAUAAGCAAUUGUACUAAAACCUUCAAGAUUACUAAGCAAUUUUUAUAUAAGUAAUACUAGACAUGUUGAGCUCAUACAAAAUACAGUAAUGCUAAUGUGUUGCUUUGUGUGUUUUCAAUACUAAAAGUUUCUAAUUGUGUUUCUAAUUUUUAAUCGAUUUGAUUUUAAGAACAGCAUUAAAAAAACAGUGAAAACUUUUUGAAAAGCUUUUAGUAACAUAAGUGAUAGUACAAGUUUUUUAAUUCUUUGAAGCUAAGGAAGUUUAUUACUGAAAGUUUUGAAAUAAUUUUUAUGCGUCAGCAUCUAGUUUCUUAAACAGGUUUCUUAUUAAAAAUACGUGUAUUAAAUAGGAAUUUGACAUCAAAUAACUCUGAGCAGAACUUUCGUUAAUCUUACAAACUGUUCGAUUUUUUUUUUUGAUUAACUUAAAGGUAUUUUUUUAACAACAUCUGAUCAAAAGAUACAUGUAGUUUCAUGAAUUUUCUGUUAAUCUUCAUUUUGGUCAAGUUGAGAAAACUUGUCGGUAAAAAAAUUCUUUUAUCGCCAUUUGUGGUAACGUCAUUGACAGUCGACGCUAUGUCAAGAAUCAUAUUUUUCAUCUAACGUUCAUGCUUUGGUAUACCGUUCGAAUAAUUCAGAACUGUUUUAGCAAGAAGGUCGGAAGAAUAUCAUAUUUUUUUCAGUGCCGGAGAACGUUGAUCGCAUGCUGUAAACACACUACAAAUAGCUUGAAUAAAAUGAGGUUUUUUUCCGUACCACAUUUUGUCUAUUUAGCAAUUUUUUCGGAAAUUUUAGUCUUGAAAUAGCAAAGUUCAAACUUUUGGGAGAAUAAAAUUGGGGUGGCAGGCUAGGCGUAUAUCAGAACGGUCCUUGUGAAGUCACUGAGCGUUCCCCUCCCGCUCAAAUUGUUGUGGCAUUUCUUGUUAUUUUGUUGUUGUUGUUGUUGUUGUUGUUUUUGUGAUGUCACGAGCGGUGCAAAGCAACCAGUCAAUAUUUCUUGUGGCGUAUGCUACAAAGCUUAAGCAAACAUUUGACAGCUUUUUCAAAUCUCAAACAGUUAAAACCAGGCAAAAGCGACUUCAGAAAUGCUUGUCUUCCACAAUGUACUCUUGUUGCGUACCAACCUUCGAUGCGCGGUGUAAUUUGUUGAUGCAUCAACAAAUUACACCGCGCAUUGGAGGUUUUCAAUAUUUUUGUUAUAUUUUUUUUGUAUUUUUCAUUAAAUAACCAAUAGAAAAUUCUGCAAGA